AUGGAGCUUUAGACACCAGGCAGAUCACAUCAAAAACCUUGAAUUAACAAGUAAAAACGCAGUGACCCCUAGCCCAUAUGUCUUUGGUUGGGGCGACCGCGGGGGAAAAUUAAGCCCCCAUGUGGACUGGGGGCACUGCCCCCACAGCCAAGAGCCACAGCUCUAAGCACCAGAAUAUCUGACCAAAAAUGAUCCGGCAAACGCCGAUCAACGGACCG
rnacentral:rRNA from 1 species